ACUCCUUACCAUUGUGGAUAAAUAUGUGGCAUCUGCUAUAGAGGGCUCUGUGUUUCAAAAAAGUGUAUGUUAUUAGAUCUCUAAGUUAUAACCAAGCACUGGAUUACUUCGGCAAAAGGUUGCUGGAUGAGAAGACUCAUACAUUUGUAUUGAGGAGCAUAAUAAAGAUAUGUGAGGGGUAUAAAAUGCAUAUGAGGAUAGUCGGGGACUAUUUGAUGAAGUACUUCAUGGAUGAUGAGGCUUUCGGGAGGUUAACAGAAUGGAUUAAAACUGAGAAACCCAAUUUUCAUAAACUCAAGGACUAUCUGACUUGUGAAGAACAGUUCAUCCACCAGUCAGCUAUCAUAAAGGAGGCUCUUCUAGACAUUUGUUCCUUCUUCUGUGGGUGGAAAUGGAAUCAAAUAGCCUGCAUACUGGACAAGGAUGUACUUGAAAAGCUGAAGGAGUUGGAGGUGAAGAGAGAGUCAAACAGAGUAUGUGUGCCAGAUAAAGUCAUGACCUAUUGUCUUUCUCGGGGAAAAGGAACUUGAAUAACUAGUGCCACUAAUCUGCGUGCUGUGCUAGCAGAAGACAAGGCCCUGAAGUUGCAUGCAAUAAAAGGAAUCUGGCUGGUACAAAACAAGUGCCCAAUCCUUAUAUCUUCACAACAGCUGGAUAAAAUGCCAAAUUUAAGAGUCCUUGCAUUAGGAGACUGGACAAUAGUGGAAGGCGACUGCAAAGAGAAUUUUACCCAUCUCAGAUAUUUUCAAGCGGGAAGAGUUGGGCAACUACCCUUCAAAAUCAGCAACUUAGACAACAUAAGGUUCUUGGACAAUAACUCUGAGCACAACAUGGGGAUGAGCACGCUAAAGGUUCCCCCAACACUCAGAAUGGUGAGAUCUAAGGGAUCAGAAUUUGAGCACAAACUAAAAUCAGACAAUCCAGAAUUUGAACACAAACUAAAAUUGGACAAUCUGCCCAAGGAAUGUAAAGUCACAGAGUUGGACAUAGGAGGUAAUAAUUUGGAGACGUUACAGACACUUUCUGUGAAUUGGAUGCUCUACAGAAGAUGAGUUUGAAUAAAUGCAAAAGACUGCGGAGUUUGCCAAUAUCCUUCAGGAAACUCCGAUCUUUGAAGAUGUUGGAUCCUAAGCUACUGUUCAAAUUUGAGUAAAUUGCCUUCAAAUUUUGGCUGGUUGAGCACUCUUGAGAAGGUUAACCUUCCUACUGUAGAAAGUUAAAGAAACUCCCUAAAUUAUGGGUUUGCUAAGCUCUGUGAAGGAAAUUGAUUUGUCAUAUUGCAAGCGCUUCAAGAAACUUCCCAAAAGCUUGGUGAAACUAACCACAUUGCAUGUGUUGAAUUUGGAAGCCUGUACUCAUCUGAUUGAAUUGUCAGAAGGAUUUGAAGACUUGGCUCUCAAGGGGAUCUGCCUGGAGUCAUGCGAGAGACUAAAAGCUCUCCCUGGAAAGAAUGGAGAAAUAAUGUUGCUGCAGAAGAAGGUGUCCCUGAGUUGGUGUUUAAGUGUACAAGAAUUAUCAAAAGGAUUCAUCACUUUCAUCAAUGCUCAUGUGGAAGAACUCAUUUUAGUGGAUUGCAUUAGUUUGAAGUCACUUCCAGAGGAUUUUCCAAUGGAAUUGAGUGGUCUAAACAGCCUCAACUUGAGCGGUUGUAGAGGCCUAGUGUGCCUCCCCAAACGUUUCCACAAGCUUGAACAUCUGGAAAAAUUGAAUUUAAGCUCAUGUGAAAAUCUAGAGGAGCCCUCUACUAGAUUGAGCCAUUUGCCAUCAUUAAUAGAGGUGAAUCUGUCUAAUUGUGAAGGACUCAAGGGACACUGGCUGACAAGUUUGAGUAAGAUACAGAGCCUGACUUUGGUAGACAUUCAUGACAGCCUACAACUAGUGGAUGCAUGGAGUCAGAUGAUGAAAGAGAAUAAAAUUUACCACUUCACAGUGGCCACAAGCCGACCUGCUAUGAUAGCUUGCCUUUUACCCCAUUCACUUUCGUCGGAAAGUUUUCUUACUCAAGAUACAAAAGGCAAUGUACAAUACAUUCUCUUAUUAUUUUUUUCAUCUCCAUACUGUUCAGGGAAAGAAAACCAUUCUUUCUCAGUACAAACAUA